UACGGGAGGCAGCAGUGGGGAAUCUUGCACAAUGGAGGAAACUCUGAUGCAGCGAUGCCGCGUGAGUGAAGAAGGCCUUUGGGUUGUAAAGCUCUUUCGUCGGGGAAGAAAAUGACUGUACCCGAAUAAGAAGGUCCGGCUAACUUCGUGCCAGCAGCCGCGGUAAU
rnacentral:rRNA from 1 species